rnacentral:lncRNA from 1 species
AUCAAAAUCGAUUGAAUUUGCUACUUCACUUUCUAUUGACAGAAUCAUCAUGCAUCUGUUAAUGGUAUCAUCAUUCUGUAAAAAGUUAAUCAAAAUCAGUGUUUUUAAUUGGGUAAUUUUCGUAGACCGCGGAGCCUCGCAAAACGCGGGGCCGGGUUCCGCGAACGCGCUGAACCUGCCUUGCGUCGGCCCUGCCGCCACUGAUAACAUUAGUUGCAUUUUGUCAUUAUUUUGCUGUUCAAAAACUGUUAGGAACGAAAAUAUUUUUCUUGUUUUUGUCUUUUACUUCAUUAAAUUUGUC